GACGAACGCUGGCGGCGUGCCUAAUACAUGCAAGUCGAACGCUGAAGCAGGAGCUUGCUUCCCUGGACGAGUUGCGAACGGGUGAGUAUCGCGUAGGUAACCUGCCUCGUAGCGGGGGGUAACUCUUGGAGACGAUAGCUAAUACCGCAUAAUAGUAGAUGUUGCAUGACAUUUGCUAAAAAGGUGCAGUUGUAUCACUACUAGAUGAUCCUGCGGUGUAUUAGCUAGUUGGUGGGGUAACGGCUCACCACGGCGACGAUACAGAGCCGACCUGAGAGGGUGGUCCGCCACACUGGGACUGGGGCACCGCCCAGACUCCUACCGGGAGCAGCAGGAGGGGAUCUUCGGGAAUGGACGGAAGUCUUACCGGGCAACGCCGGGGGGGGGAAGAAGGGUUUCGGGUCGUAAAGCUCUGUUGUAAGGGGAGAACGAGUGUGGGAGUGGAAAGUGCACGCUGUGACGGUACCUUACCAGAAAGGGACGGCUAACUACGUG
rnacentral:rRNA from 1 species